rnacentral:lncRNA from 1 species
CAAGGAAUAACUAAUUGUUGUGGAUUAAAUGAAAAUUAUAUUUUAGGUUUAGGUUCCACCACAAUCAACUAUUAUUUUGGGGCCUUUUAUAGUUCAUUGUUGAAGGCUGUAAGGUGACUUUCAGUUGCUAAUUUCUGUGACACUUGGUCUCUUGUGGAAGGUGGUCUCAUUGGUAAUCAUACCAGAUCUUCUUAUUUUUAUAAUAACAUAAAAGAGAAAUUACCAAAAAUACAACAAACAUCAACUUCCAACACCAACUCCUGGGAAACACAGACAGAUAACAACAAUUAACACAUGAUCAUAUAUCUUGAUUCAUAAACAGCAAACGACACAUGAUUAUAUAUCUUGAUUUGUGAACCACAAACAACACAUGAUCAUAACAUAUCUUGAUUUGUGAACAGCAAACAACACAUGAUCAUAACAUAUCUUGGUUUGUGAACAGCAAACAACACAUGAUCCUAACAUAUCUUAUUUGUGAACAGCAAACAACACAUGAUCAUAACAUAUCUUGAUAUGUGAACAACAAACAACACAUGAUCAUAUAUCUUGAUUUGUGAACAGCAAACAACACAUGAUCAUAUCUGUUAAUUUAGUGAACAGCAAACAACACAUGAUCAUAUAUCUUGAUUUGUGAACCACAAACAACACAUGAUCCUAACAAAUCUUGAUUUGUGAAUGACAAACAACACAUGAUCAUGUAUCUUGAUGCAUGAACAGCAAACAACACUUGAUCAUAUAUCUUGAUUUGUGAACAGCAAAUAACACAUGAUCAUAUAUCUAGAUUUGUGAACAGCAAACAACACAUGAUCAUAACAUAUCUUGAUUUGUGAACAAUAAACUACACAAGAUCAUAUCUGUUGGUUUAGUGAACAGCAAACAACACGUGAUCAUAACAUAUCUUGAUUUGUGAACAGUAAACAACACAUGAUCAUAUAUCUUGAUUUGUGAACCACUAACAACACAUGAUCAUGACAUAUCUUGAUUUGUGAACAGCAA